rnacentral:rRNA from 1 species
GAUGUUUGAUGUUCUAACGUGGGCCCCUAAUCGGGGUUGCGGACAGUGUCUGGUGGGUAGUUUGACUGGGGCGGUCUCCUCCCAAAGCGUAACGGAGGAGCACGAAGGUUAGCUAAUCCUGGUCGGACAUCAGGAGGUUAGUGCAAUGGCAUAAGCUAGCUUGACUGCGAGCGUGACGGCGCGAGCAGGUGCGAAAGCAGGUCAUAGUGAUCCGGUGGUUCUGAAUGUAAGGGCCAUCGUUCAACGGAUAAAAGGUACUC